GGCUAAUGCUUAUGCAUCUAAAUUGUGGUUUCAGGUAGUGGGACUGUAGAGUCCCGCUAAGGGGCGCCAGAGGCGUCGGGAUCGCUGGUGAGUCACAGUACGCCGCUCCUCGACCAGCUUCUACUUCAGACACUUAAACUUCCAAGACAGCUUCCUUUUACGCCUCUUCUUUUGCUGCACCCGGGUCAACAAUCAUGCAGAAACACGUUUUUCAUAUUCCUGUUUGUUCUCCUGGUACAGAUCCAUCAGAGAAUUGAGACCAAAGGACAAACUACUACAACAAAGUUUGGAGAAAUGGACAGAUAGAAAAACAGAAUCACAACAUAGUGGAGCAGAGACCUACAAGCAAAAAUUUCCUUGGGAACCACUACCAGAGUAGGACAUUUGACUGAAGUUGUUGUUCUCUUCUGUUGUUUUCUGAAGCACUUCUUUCUCAUGUUUUACCCUCUCAGCAAGCUGCUUCAAGACUUGAGCUUCAUGGGACUUGCAUCUUUCUUCUACACCUUCUCAUUUCUUUUGAAUUCCUUCCAGGGAAAGAUUAUUCUUUGGAAGGAAAAGAGGACAUUUUGAGAUUAUUCUUUUGAUCAGUUCCUGGCCUGAGGCACACGUCUCCAGUAUUUAACCUGGAUAUCAGAAGAAGUUAUGGUGAACAGAGAAUAAGAGAAUGGUAGUAUAUUCUACACAGUCCACUGACAAAGAAAAUCUCUGCUUUGUCGAUGUUUAUCAUGGUGGAAAACAAAAUGGUCAAGCUAAUAUUCAUCAAUAAUGCUGAACUCCUGUUGUUCCUGGGAUUUAAGCUCCUGUCCAACAGUGGGCAAAAUUAAUUUUACAAACCUCUAGACUUUAGAUUGUAAUUUUUGUUGCCUUAUAUCAUGAACAAUUAUACAUCCUUUUCUGAAUUUUUUAGGGUCAUGAUUCUUGUAGACCCUGAGAACUGCUGGAAAUUACACAGACUGAAAUUUUGCUGCAAAGCUUGAACUUUGCUGGAAAUUCACAACAGCUGGAAAUUAAAGUUAGAGGUAGUGGAAUGGUCUAAUCCCAGCAAAGCAUUAGAUGCAGUACCAAGCCCAGGAUAGGUAUGAUCCUGCUCUAGGCUGGGAAAGUUGGGUAGAGUCCCUACCCCCAGUCAGAGUAUGCCUUGUGUUCUGGGUCCACCCCUUCCUUCCUGAUUUUACUGGAUCUCCCCAAACUGUCAACACCCUAGAACCAGCCACAGUUUAGAGACAGUAUUUUCCCAGAACCUAUUCUAUUGGGGUUUUAUUAGCAUUGAACUGACUUGGGGGAGGAAAAUACCCAACUUGCACUUCCUCUAGCCCUCCUAUCCCUCUGAAGGCUGGGAAGGGGGCUACUGAGAAGCACUUGUGAAGUUUAUAAUCCAGAGGCACAGAUUCACUAUAAAACUGAGGCCUAAUCAUAGGUCUAUGGAACAGUUUCCUCUCCCCCCCACACCUUAUCACCACAUUACUAAGGCCUAUUUACCACAUGUUAUUUCACCUAGUACAUCAUGUCUUGCUUUCAACAAAAUAUUACAAGGCAUGCUAAAAGGCAACCUAACAAAACCCAAAACAAAAACACAGGUUAAAGAGACAGAGCAAGUAUCAGAAUCAGAGUCAGAUAUGGCAGGGAUUGGAAUUAUCAGACCAUCAAUUUAAAAUAACUAAGAAUUCUAGUAGAAAAAAAAAAACAGACAACAUGCAAAAACAGGUCAGUAAUAUAAGCAGAAAGAUGGAAAUUAUAAGAAAUAAUAAAAAAGAAAUGUUAGAGACCAAAAACACUUAACAUAAAUGAAGAAUGGCUUUGAUGAGCUCAUUAGUAUACUAGAUAUGGCUGAGGGAAGAAUCCUUGAGUUUAAGGAUAUGUCAACAGAAACUUCCAAACAGAAAAGUAGAGAGAAAAGAAAAACAAACAAACAAACAAACAAAAAGGAACAGAAUAUUCAAACAUUAUGGGACAACUACAAAAAGUAUAAUAUACGUACAAUGGGAUAUAAGAAGAGGAAGAAAGUGAGAAAGUAAUAGAAGAAAUAUUUGGAGUAAUAAUGACUGAGUUUCCCAAAUCCAAUGUCAGAUACCAAACCACAGAUCCAAGACUCUCAGAGGACACUAAGGAUAAAUGCCAAAGUAACACUACAGCUAGGCAUAUCAUAUUCAAACUGUAGAAAGACAAAGAUGAAGAAAAGAUCUUACCUAUAGAGGAGCAAAGAUAAAAAUUACAUCUGACUUCUUCUCAUAAAGCAUUUAAGGAAAAAGAGUGGAAUAAAAUAUUGAACAUAUUGAGAGGAAAAGAACUAUACCAACCUAGAAUUUUAUGAUAUUUAUUUAUUCUUGAGAGAGAGGGAGAGACAGAGAGUGAGUGCAGGAGGCGCAGAG